rnacentral:rRNA from 1 species
GACGAACGCUGGCGGCGUGCCUAAUACAUGCAAGUAGAACGCUGAAGGAGGAGCUUGCUUCUCUGGAUGAGUUGCGAACGGGUGAGUAACGCGUAGGUAACCUGCCUGGUAGGGGGGGAUAACUAUUGGAAACGAUAGCUAAUACCGCAUAAUAGUAGAUGUUGCAUGACAUUUGCUUAAAAGGUGCAAUUGCAUCACUACCAGAUGGACCUGCGUUGUAUUAGCUAGUUGGUGAGGUAACGGCUCACCAAGGCAACGAUACAUAGCCGACCUGAGAGGGUGAUCGGCCACACUGGGACUGAGACACGGCCCAGACUCCUACGGGAGGCAGCAGUAGGGAAUCUUCGGCAAUGGACGGAAGUCUGACCGAGCAACGCCGCGUGAGUGAAGAAGGUUUUCGGAUCGUAAAGCUCUGUUGUAAGAGAAGAACGAGUGUGAGAGUGGAAAGUUCACACUGUGACGGUAUCUGACCAGAAAGGGACGGCUAACUACGUG